UGCCUCCUCUGUUUGCAGGG
rnacentral:snRNA from 1 species